UCCCAUAACCUUCCAGUGACUCCCAUGGC
rnacentral:piRNA from 1 species